rfam:Candidatus Tagabacteria bacterium RIFCSPLOWO2_01_FTLL_42_9 rifcsplowo2_01_scaffold_35056, whole genome shotgun sequence.
GCGCGGGUGGCGAAACCGGAAGACGCGCUAGCUUGAGGGGCUAGUGGGAGCAAUCCCUUGGGGGUUCAAAUCCCCCUCCGCGCA